rnacentral:rRNA from 1 species
UACGUAGGGCGCAAGCGUUGUCCGGAAUUAUUGGGCGUAAAGGGCGCGUAGGCGGCUUGACAAGUCAAAGGUGAAAUCCCUCGGCUCAACUGAGGAACUGCCUUUGAAACUGUCAGGCUUGAGGCCGGGAGAGGGAUGCGGAAUUCCAGGUGUAGCGGUGAAAUGCGUAGAUAUCUGGAGGAACACCGGUGGCGAAGGCGGCAUCCUGGACCGACACUGACACUGAGGAGCGAAAGCCAGGGGAGCAAACGGG